rnacentral:rRNA from 1 species
GCGCUGGCAACCAGACUUGCGUGCGGGGGUUCCCCCUUGCUUCUGCUUGGGUUACUCCCCCGUAUCCAGGCCAACAUCGGUUUUGGCGGCCGGUUAAAGGCUCUGGGAAUGUAUCUUCCCCCGGGAAGACUUAUAGCCUGGGGUGUCAUGCGGCCUGCCGGGAUCGAGGAACGCGCUUCGUGCUCGGAUGUUGGCGUAAUGGUUGUCAGCGACCCGUCUUGAAACACGGACCAAGGAGUC